GUUUUCUAUAGUCGUGGUUGAUUCGUGUGUGACCUCGUGCACAGUGGAACCAACCGUUUCACUAUCAUUCACCAUCACAGCACUCUGAAAGCUUCUUUCUAAUCCUUGAACACUGAAACCUCCGUUAGGAACAUCAUCUAGUUUGGCAGCAACUACUUCUGGAAGUUGAUGAAUUCCAUUUCCACAGCUCGACCCAUUUACGGAAACAGAUAUGUUAUUGUCAAUCUCCAUCAUGCUCU
rnacentral:misc_RNA from 1 species